rnacentral:rRNA from 1 species
AGUCACUGACAUUAGAUACCCGCGUAGUCCUAGGCGUAAAUGAUGCGAGUUAAGUGUGGGGGCAUCUACGAGAUGGCCCUGUGCUGUAGGGUAGCCGUUAAACUCGCUGCCGUGGGAGUACGGUCGCAAGGCUGAAACUUAAAGGAAUUGGCGGGGAGCACCACAACGGGUGGAGCCUGCGGUUUAAUCGGACUCAACGCCGGGAAUCUCACCGGAUAAGACAGCUGAAUGAUAGUCGGGAUGAAGACUCUACUUGACUAGCUG